UACGAAGGGUGCAAGCGUUACUCGGAAUUACUGGGCGUAAAGCGUGCGUAGGUGGUUCGUUAAGUCUGAUGUGAAAGCCCUGGGCUCAACCUGGGAAUGGCAUUGGAUACUGGCGGACUGGAGUGCGGUAGAGGAUGGCGGAAUUCCCGGUGUAGCAGUGAAAUGCGUAGAGAUCGGGAGGAACAUCUGUGGCGAAGGCGGCCAUCUGGACCAACACUGACACUGAGGCACGAAAGCGUGGGGAGCAAACAGG
rnacentral:rRNA from 1 species